rnacentral:pre_miRNA from 1 species
AAGUAGGUCUGUCUUUAAGUAAGGAUAAAUUAUGCUUCAAAAGAAGAAACCUAAGAAUUCUCCUUUCUAGUGAAUAGGCUUGU